CAGUUCUGCUUGACCUCAAAACAAAGUGUGGUCUCGUUAUUGGGGGAAUUGGAUUGUAUGCUGAUUGCCAGGAGUGUAAGCUGAUUGAAUGCUUUUCUUGUUCAGCUUCUUACAGCAUUCAUAUGCUUGAGAACAUUCGUAUGCUUCUUCGGUUCGGUGGUUGUGGUGUCUGCUGCAGUGCUUGGGGUCCUCAGGAAGAGCUAGGAGCAUCCUUCAAUGGAGGUACCCAGUCAGGGUGCCAGGUGAUCCGUUACAACCUCCACAUCAAUUGUUUGGAACUUCUGUCCAGCUCAUUUGCAAUCUGCAGUUUUUCACCGACUAUAUAUCAAUGCGCUAUCC